rnacentral:tRNA from 1 species
GUAAAUAUAGUUUAAAAAAAACAUUAGAUUGUGAAUCUAAUAAUAGAGGCUUAUUACCCUCUUACUUACC